AUUCGAAUCAAGCCGAAGCUCGGAAGAGCGCGGGGGAACCAACUUUUGGGGUGAAGGCGCAUAUUUGCGUCAGGGGUGACCUCUUUGACCCGAACCCGACAGCUAACCUCGUAGGCUGCAAAGGGAGAGAUG
rfam:Paenibacillus dendritiformis C454 PDENDC1000141, whole genome shotgun sequence.